rnacentral:rRNA from 1 species
CUUUCUCCGCCGGCGACCGGCGCACGGGUGAGUAACACGUAUGCAACCUGCCCCUGUCAGGGGGACAACCCGCCGAAAGGCGGGCUAAACCCGCGUACAUGCCACCGGGGCAUCCCGGAGGCAGGAAAGGCUUCGGCCGGACAGGGAUGGGCAUGCGGCGCAUUAGGCAGUAGGCGGGGUAACGGCCCACCUAACCGACGAUGCGUAGGGGUUCUGAGAGGAAGGUCCCCCACACUGGUACUGAGGCACGGACCAGACUCCUACGGGAGGCAGCAG